GACGAACGCUGGCGGCGUGCUUAACACAUGCAAGUCGAACGGAAAGGCCCUGCUUUUGUGGGGUGCUCGAGUGGCGAACGGGUGAGUAACACGUGAGUAACCUGCCCUUGACUUUGGGAUAACUUCAGGAAACUGGGGCUAAUACCGGAUAGGAGCUCCUGCUGCAUGGUGGGGGUUGGAAAGUUUCGGCGGUUGGGGAUGGACUCGCGGCUUAUCAGCUUGUUGGUGGGGUAGUGGCUUACCAAGGCUUUGACGGGUAGCCGGCCUGAGAGGGUGACCGGCCACAUUGGGACUGGGAUACGGCCCAGACUCCUCCGGGGGGCAGCGGUGGGGAAUAUUGCACAAUGGGCGGAGGCCUGAUGCAGCAACGCCGCGUGCGGGAUGACGGCCUUCGGGUUGUAAACCGCUUUCGCCUGUGACGAGGCGUGGGUGACGGUAAUGGGUAAGGAAGCACCGGCUACUACGUG
rnacentral:rRNA from 1 species